UACGUAGGGGGCAAGCGUUGUCCGGAAUCAUUGGGCGUAAAGCGCGCGUAGGCGGCCAGAUUAGUCCGGUGUGAAAGUCAGAGGCUCAACCUUUGAAUGCCGCUGGAAACUGUCUGGCUUGAGUCCGGAAGGGGCGAGUGGAAUCCUGGUGUAGCGGUGAAAUGCGCAGAUAUCGGGAGGAACACCGAAGGCGAAGGCAGUGUCCUGGGGAGUACCUGACGCUCAGGUGCGAAAGCCAGGGGAGCGAACGGG
rnacentral:rRNA from 1 species